AGGGGAAGCGUUGUACCCACGUUGCGUGACAAAGGCGGAACAAUAUUGGGAAGUUUUAGGCAUUUACUCGAUAAAUUUUCAUCGGUUUGUAUUGAUAAUAUUCUACAAUGAGUUAUGGUCGAGGACCGCCCGACAUUGAGGGAAUGGCAUCCCUUAAAGUGGACAAUUUGACCUACAGAACGACGCCGGAAGAUCUGCGGCGUGCUUUUGAAAAAUAUGGCGACGUUGGAGAUGUGUACAUUCCCCGCGACCGAUUCACUCGAGAAAGUAGAGGAUUCGCCUUCGUACGUUACUAUGACAAACGCGACGCAGAAGACGCACUGGAUAGUAUGGAUGGCGCUAUCAUGGAUGGAAGGGAACUGAGAGUACAGAUGGCGAGAUACGGACGUCCUAACGAAUCGCACCGGAGUAGGGCACCCCAACGCCGGAGCUAUGGGUAUGGACGGUCACGAAGGUCAAGAUCAAGAUCUAGGUCUCGGUCAAGAGGAAGAAGAUCACGGUCACGAUCAAGGAGGAGGCGUAGUAGGUCACGAUCUCGUAGUCGUUCUAGGUCAAGGAGUUACAGCCGUAGUCAUAGCAGGAGCAAGAGUGUUAGUCGCAGCAGAAGCAGAUCAAGGGACAUCUCUAAGUCGCCUUCAAGGUCACCAAGUCACAGAAAUCAUGAUGAUGAUUGUGGUGACGACUGAAAUAUUCAUCUUGAUACCAUCAAUAACAAGUCAAAGAAUGAUGACCAACAUUCUACAUAGCUUAUCCUGUCCAUAUUGACUGGCUGAGCACAUACUAUCAUUCAAGCUGAUCUUGUGACAGUGAAAGGAGCAGUAAGGUGUUAGUUAUGCUGUGUGCUGAAUACAGCUGAGAAAGAGGGGCUUGCAGAGUGUACUGCCAGGGGUUCGAAAUCCUGCCGUAGCAGUUGCUGUAUUUGCUCUGCAGUCCGGAAUGUUGCUGGUCAUGCUCGGGUGGCAGAUCCUGUUAGCUGUUUCUUCUUGACUCCAGAAUUUUAUUUCCCAAAAAAUUGAGAAAAAGACUAAAUCAAUCUUUAGUAAUUUCAUUUUUUUGAUAACUAAUCUAUUAAAGAAAGAAAACUAUUGAUAUUUCCACAUGAAAAACGGAAAAAGAAAAAUCUUUGAUCAUAUGAUGAUUAUGGCUAUUCCAAUAGUAUCAUCUUGAUUUCUUUGCAUUGAAAAUGUCCAAGGAGAAAUUUUUGUCAUACCAAAAUUCUUGGAAAUUCUGAAGCACAAACAAUUACACUUUUUGCAAAAAAGAGGGAACAGAAAUAAAAUUGAAGCCCAUUUUCUGUUAGCAUUUUCGUGACCUGUCUUCAUUUAUAAAGGAAAAGGGUAUUUGUAUCUUGGAUUUUGAGAAAACCAAAAUGCACAUUGUGCUCUAGCUUAGUGGAGACGGCAAAUGUUUGCCAUCUCUGCUUGUUAAAUGGGAAAGACCCAGUAUGCAACACUUCCAAAGAAAAUCCAGCAAAGCAAGUUCCAUGAAUGUUGUCUGGUUUUGUGAUGUUUCAGCUGCUUUAUUAUGAAAACAACCAUGAAUGUAAUGGAGGGGUGUCUGACCUGAUGCA